rnacentral:sRNA from 1 species
GCUGGGCGUGGUGGUGCACGCCUGUAAUCCCAGUGGCUUGAGAGGCUGAGACAGAAUUGCAAGCUCAAAGCCAGCUUCAGCAACUGUGAGGCACUAAGCAACUCAGUGAGACCCUGUCUCUA